UACGUAGGGACCAAGCGUUGUUCGGAUUUACUGGGCUUAAAGGGCGCGUAGGCGGGCAAUCAAGUCUGAGGUGAAAUCCUCCAGCUUAACUGGAGAAGUGCCCCGGAUACUGGUUGCCUCGAGGAUGGUAGGGGCAUCUGGAACUAGCGGUGGAGCGGUGAAAUGCGUUGAUAUCGCUAGGAACUCCGGUGGCGAAGGCGAGGUGCUGGACCAUUUCUGACGCUGAGGCGCGAAAGCCAGGGGAGCGAACGGG
rnacentral:rRNA from 1 species